UUUCCGUAGGUGAACCUGCGGAGGGUUCAUUACAGAGUAUCAUGCCCUUCGGGGUAGAUCUCCCACCCUGUGUAUUAUAUACCUUUUGUUGCUUUGGCGGGCCGCCUCGGCCACCGGCUUCGGCUGGUCAGCGCCUGCCAGAGGACCCCAAACUCAUAUUAUCUAUGUCGUCUGAGUACUAUACAAUAGUUAAAACUUUCAACAACGGAUCUCUUGGUUCUGGCAUCGAUGAAGAACGCAGC
rnacentral:misc_RNA from 1 species